AUAAUCAGGAUAAAAUUAAUGCAUGUCACCUGAAAAAGGCCUCCGCGUGUGAGGGAGCCGGCUCCCCCUGCACAGCCCGCUACACUGCCAUGCGAGAGGGAGCCCUGGAUUCCGCGGUAAGGUUGUCACACCAAGGCUGGGAGGGAGAGCGCCUCUCACAUCACAUGGAGGCUGCGAGGGAGACGGCUGAGAGGCCAUGGGAGGGAGAGGGCUCAAAAGUCGGCACACACUCGCAUUGCAAGAGGGAGGGAGCCACGACCUUUUAUUGGG
rnacentral:lncRNA from 1 species